GUUUAAGGUGAUGUUUGCAAACAAAUAUAAGUCAAUAAAACUGACCUACUGAAAGAUAAAUAUACAAGCGAGGUUUAGAGCUACUGUAUUUUGAAAUAGUUUAAAGGGCUUAAACAAAUAUACCAAAAUGUUAGGGAGAUUCCCUCUAGCGGCACACUAUCUAUAAUCUAAUAUCAAGUGAUUGAUUUAUGAAAGCUUAUCAGUAAGGGUAUUUCCAAAUUUUGUUGAAACUUAAACAACCUUAGUUAUAACUUAUAAACAGUUUGAAGAAAAUUUUCUUUAUGCAAACAAUAUGUGGCGAAUAUUUCUGUACUUCGCUUUUUUUGGAUACUUGAACAUUUUGAUUGUGAAUGGGGAUAAAACACAAACUCACGAUCUCGAGGAACCGGAUAAUGAUGAUCCUGGUCUUGAUGUCGGCGUUGGUGUCGGUAUUGAUCAAGCUGUGAGAAGAGUAAAACGUGGUGGUUAUUUUU